ACCGUGAGCGUGCGAGCGAUACGGGCAGACUAGAGUACUGCAGGGGAGACUGGAAUUCCUGGUGUAGCGGUGGAAUGCGCAGAUAUCAGGAGGAACACCGGUGGCGAAGGCGGGUCUCUGGGCAGUAACUGACGCUGAGGAGCGAAAGCGUGGGGAGCGAACAGGAUUAGAUACCCUGGUAGUCCACGCCGUAAACGGUGGGUACUAAGUGUGGGUUUCCUUCCUUGGGAUCCGUGCCGUAGCUAACGCAUUAAGUACCCCGCCUGGGGAGUACGGCCGCAAGGCUAAAACUCAAAGGAAUUGACGGGGGCCCGCACAAGCGGCGGAGCAUGUGGAUUAAUUCGAUGCAACGCGAAGAACCUUACCUGGGUUUGACAUGCACAGGACGCGUCUAGAGAUAGGCGUUCCCUUGUGGCCUGUGUGCAGGUGGUGCAUGGCAGUCGUCAGCUCGUGUCGUGAGAUGUUGGGUUAAGUCCCGCAACGAGCGCAACCCUUGUCUCAUGUUGCCAGCGGGUAAUGCCGGGGACUCGUGAGAAACUGCCGGGGUCAACUCGGAGGAAGGUGGGGAUGACGUCAAGUCAUCAUGCCCCAUAUGUCCAGGGCUUCACACAUGCUACAAUGGCCGGUACAAAGGGCUGCGAUGCCG
rnacentral:rRNA from 1 species